AUUUAGGUAGUUUAAAAAAAAUACNGAUUUGUGGUGUCGGAGUUGUUAAAAAUUUAUAACCUUAGAUU
rnacentral:tRNA from 1 species